GUACUUAACCAUAAACUAUGCCGACUAGGGAUCGGACGAUGUUAUUUUUGUACUCGUUCGGCACCUUACGAGAAAUCAAAGUGCUUGGGCUCCAGGGGGAGUAUGGUCGCAAGGCUGAAACUUAAAGAAAUUGACGGAAGGGCACCACCAGGGGUAAAAACGCAGUUGCUCUGCCCCUAAGAGCAGCCGGGAAACCGGUCCAGUGGGUCCUGGCCUCCGGGGCCGAAGAAUGCUAGUCGCCACCCGGCGGCAACACCCUCAACUUGCGGGGAGUCCCUAAAGCCGCUGACACCAAGCGGGCGCCCGAAAGGGGCCCGUGGCCGAGCUAACAGCCCUGGAUACGGUAACAGUUCAGCAGGAUGAUACAAUGGGUGACCCGCAGCCAAGCUCCUACGCGGCGGUCGCGAUGGCGGCGCCGACGGAGAAGGUUCAGAGACUUGACGGGGGUGGGUUGGGGCCGCGGCCCCUGCUUAAGAUAAAGUCCGUCUACGCGCUAAAGCGCUGUAGAGCCCCUAAACGGGAGCCUGCGGCUUAAUUUGACUCAACACGG
rnacentral:rRNA from 1 species